AUAUUAUAUUUGUGCAAUGUGUAUGUAAUAACCUGGUCAGAUUAGGAAUAAAGCAGCCAUAUUUACCUCUACACAUGUGCACUUUUUUUAUUUGAA
rnacentral:SRP_RNA from 1 species